CAGAGGCCGCGGGAGCGGGCGGGAGCGGCGCCGGCGCCCGCGAGGCUGCGGCCGGGGGAGGGCGGGCCCAGCCCGGCCCGCCCACAGCCCUCGGAGGGUCCCUUAAAGGGACUUGACGCGCCCCCGGGCCCGGAGGUGGGCGCGGGCUACGGGCCGACGAGGGGGCCUCUCGGGCGGUGCAGAACGCCUUCCCCAGCCCCGAACACGGGGUCUCGUGGACCGCCCCCAGGAGCUCCGCCCGUCUCGGACGCACGCGCAGGGGAAGGAAGGGGGGACACCGAAGAGAAGGCUGGCCGCGGACUGCUCUCAGCGGGCCAGGAGGCACCGCACAGGGCCACCCGCCUCGGAGACCGAGGACGCCCCCUCUCCCCGCGCUGCCUUGCCUGCAAGCUUUGAGCCCCUCUGACCCUGUCCUGGUUUCUCACCAGGGGGACUUCCUGAAGGAGUCCAGAAACCUGUGCACCUGUGGCCAAAGGGAUUCUUUCCUGCCGGGACUGCGGGAUGCGUGCACAUCAGAGCCAGGCUUAGGUCCUGUGAAAUCAGCCGGGUGAUCCCGCACCCCCACCAUGCAGGACAGGCAGCCCUGAGCCUUGCACCCUGCGUGUCCAAGCACCUAUCCUCAGGGCCCCGUGCCCCCGGCUCAGGGCCUGCAGUCAGCCCCGUGUGGCCAGCCCACUGGUGCUGCAGUGGCCACUUGCCUUGGUAGCCACAGAACACGCCCACAUGGCCCCCCGCUAGCGUCCGGGGGUGGGGACCAACAGGAAGAGGUCUCCAGGUCCAGGCUCCCUGCCCGCCAACUCCAAGGCUUCAUUGGGGACCCAGGAAGACCCCAGACAGGGCCUUGGGCACAGGCCGGAGGAGAUGGCUCCUUCCGCUGGUCCCCCAUCCUGCCAGGUGCCGAGAGCUCAGGGAGAGCCGGUUGGAGCUCGGCUCCAGGUGAAGGUCCCCCCUGCCCCACACCUACCUCUGUGCUGACGAACUCCAAGGCCUGGACCUCACGGAAUACAUCCUCCUCUGAGCCUCCCAGUUUCCAGCAGUAGGGACAACCUCCUCAUCCGUCCCAAAUCCCAGCCUCUUCAUUCUCCUCCCCUCCCACCUCCACAAGAGACUCUCCCAACUGUCACCCAUUCUCUGGGGAUGUGAAGCUCAUCGACGGAGGAAAAAUCAGCUGUCAAACCUCCUAGCUGCCAGCGGGUGAGGUUCCAGGCCGUGGUCCCUGCUGCCUCUCUGCCCCAGGCUGUGCACUCAGCAGGGGUUGGGGGACUGAGCAUCGAUGCUUGGCCGUGCAUUUGUUGUGCCUGAGUCUGUGCUGCAAUACCAGACGUGGGACUGGGAAACCCAAGUCCUGGUUAUGCCAGUUCUUUAUAUAGGACAUCAAAUACGCCACUUCCUCCCUCUGGGCCUCAACUUCCUCAUCCAUGAACUGGGGACAGUACGCUCGGAAGGCUGAACAUCAGAGGACCGUUGUGAGGCACUGAGAGCCCUUUGUGAGCUGGACAAGGAGAGACAGGCAGGGCUGGCUUACUUUCCCUCUGCUCCUGAGCAGGCAGAGCUGGGCCACAAGGAGAAAGCGUCCUUCCCAGCUGAGAGAGAACAAGGGGCCCUCAGAGGCUGGCUGCAACCCUGACCGGAGCUCUCAGGGAAUCACCCCGCUGGAGAGGCCCUGGGGAGCUGGGCCCCACCCGACUCCCUCUGGACAUUCUCCAGAAGGCUGAAUUUCCUUCAGCAUUUCCUGUGGAGGAGACGCAGAGACGGGCAGAGACGGCGAGCAAGCACCAUAGGAGAGCAGAGGCAGAGAUCGCAGUGAUGCAGCCGCACGCAACGG